UUUUUUUUUUAAAGGUCCACACCUAUGGCAUAUGGAAGUUCCCAGGCUAGGGGUCUAAUCAAAGCUACAGAUGCCAGCCAACACCACAGCCACAGCAAUGCCAGAUCUGAGUCGCAAUGGCGACCUAUACCACAGCUCACGGCAACGCCGGAUCCUUAACCCACUGAGCAAGGCCAGGGAUCGAACCCGAAACUUCAUGGUUCCUAGUUGGAUUUGUUUCCACUGUACCACGACAGGAACUCCAAGAAUAUAUUUUAAAUGUUAAAGAUACAUUUUAACUAUUAAGAAUAUGUUCAUUGUUAAAGAUAUAUAUUAAUUUGAUUUUACAAUGUGUUUUGAAGACUUGGCUCUAGGUAAACUGGGAACUUGUGGAGACAUCCUCAGAUGGAUAAGGUCUCUCUCCGUGAAGGAGAAUGCUUUUCAUGUGAUGAAUGAACUUGUAACAACAUAGGAAGGCAAUGGACUUGACCCACAGUGGAAAGGAUGCUCUCGUGAGGGCAGUUAAGGGACAUGGGGGCCAUGGCUCAUGUUGUCCUGGUACCAUGGUACCUUUGCUUUUUCAGAGUAAACCAUUACCGACUAAUCACACUUGAACUUAUUGAAACCCAUGUUGCAUGAAUUUAACAUUCUCCCUCUAAAAGAAGUAAGGGUAAUUUGAUCUAUAAUUCAGAAGCAAGCCCGCCCUCCCCCACCCCAAAUGCAGCAGCAGGCUGCCCUGAACCAUCACACCGCCCAUGGCUGAGAUGGAAUUGUCUCUGGCUCAACUCCUGCCGAGGCGCUGCGUCCUCCCACCUCCCGCACUGCCUAGGACUCCUUUGGCGAGGACUGGAUGAUAUUUCCGUGUAGAGCAGUGCCCGGUGUGGAGGGCCAGGCCUAUCGCUCCUUGGACCUUGGACCUUAAGUGGUUUACCAGGCUUCCUCCUUACCUUUCUAUUGGCCACAGACUCUCCGCUGAAACAGAGACAUCCUGCACUGAAUGAGUGUGGACAUCUCAGAGCCAAGAGAUGGAGGAUGGGGAAUAGAACAGACGCAAAGAGAAGCCCUUCCAGUUUCCAGAGAGCAUGGCAGGGCCGUUUACCGCAGAACCUCGUCAGUGGUUGAAGUUGAUCAGAAUCUAUCCAAUAUCAGCCUAACAAAUGAGUGAAUGACCCCAGAUUUGAGGAGAAACCAUCUGAAAUGACUUCCCCUUUCCUAGUAGGAGCGUGAGAGUCUAACACCUGGCUCCCCGGGACUGUCUAAGAACCGGUGCUCCGGAUAUCAGGAGGGUGCAGUUUUCUGGCCUCAGUUCCAUGAAGUUACUCCUUGAAGGUCAAGAUCAUUGCCAUGAAGAUGUGAUUACCUAAGAGUGUCUCAAGUGGCCUGUUCAGCACCAAGUAUUUAGCUGAGGAGAAGGGCCUGCCAUGUUUCCAUCACAGAGGUGAAGAAAGUGGUCAUGACUUGGCUUUUGGGGGCCACAAUUUUCCAUUCUGGGUUCUGUGAAUCUAGCACACAGCUCUGGCCUGUGCUACUCCGACUUCCCUCUUCUUCUCGGCCCUCCCUAAAGCUUGUCUGAAGAAGGCUGGGGAGCCAUUUCCUGACACACCCCCCCCCAAACCCUAAUACUUCUCAUUACCAUUCCAUCAGGCAGUAGCCAAGAUCAGAGUUCACAGGACAGGAAGGCCUAUAAGGAAGCUUCAGCUGGUGGCCACCUGUACCUUGCCACUGUAGGUCAGGUGUCUGGGCAUAACUUUCCACUAGAUUGAAUCUGUUCCUUUGUAAAUCUAACUCCAAAAGCAUCCCUAGAAAAAUUACCCUAAUGCAAGUAAGAAUAACCCAGGACCCUUGAUCCUUAUCUAGGGUUGGGGUUUUCCAAAAGUGUUUCCUUUGUGUGGUGGUACCACUAUGCAGCUUGGAUCCAGUGUUGCUGUGGUUGUGGUCUGCAGCUCCAAUUCGACUCCUAGCCCUUGAACUUCCACAUUCCACGGGUGCUGCCCUAAAAAGAAAAAAGAAAAAGGAAAAAAUUAAAAUUAAAAAAUAAUAAUGCUCAAGGGGUAAUGGCUCAUUUACCUUGUUAAUGACUUGCAAUGGCAAUAAUUAUCACUCAUGGAGUACCUAUGGCUUUGCUCUCUCAUAUCAUCCUACAGAAGUAAGAUAAGGUGGUGUCCGGAGUAUGGGGUCUGGAGCUUGACUACCUGGAUUCAAAUCCCUGCUCAGUCAUCUCUUGGCUGUGUGACUUAAGGUAAGUUACUCACCCUCUCUGUGCCUCAAUGUCUUCAUCUGGUGGAUGGAGCUCACAGACUCUAGUCUGUCAUAGGGUAGCUGUGAAGAUUAGACGAGUCGAUGCAUGUAGAGAGCUUCUAACAGUGCUUGACCUUGAGCAGCCAUUCAGUACAUUAUACAUUAGCAAGGUGGGAUAAGGAAAUGGGGGUUUGGGAAGGUGAAUGGCUGACUCCAAAGCACUUACGUUGGGAUCCACAGUGGAAACUCUUCUAAUCUUUUAUCAACAACCAGAUGAGAAGAUACAUCUGCUUCUGCUUCUAAGAGUUGGUGAUUCUCAUCCUUCUCUCUGCACUUGCCCUUGCCGUGUCCUUGGUCAGCACAGAGGAAGGACAACAGCCCAUCUCCCUCACAUCGGAAGUGGCUCCACAAGUUGGCCUUCACUGCCAUCAACCCUAACAGGUGUGGUGCUCUAUCUCCACAGUCCUCCAGAGCGCCCUCAAGUCCCUCAGGGUGUCUUUACUCCAAGAAGGGGUUCUAGACUAGACAAGCAGAGGUGUUGCAGAAAGGAAGAUACUGCAAAGGAUUCAGGCAGCAAAGGGUGUGCUCCCCACACUGGGGAAGACAUCUGGGCAGAAGGGCCUGGGCUGGACCUCACAUCCAUCCCUCUUCCCUUGGGGUCCUUGACCACCCUUGAGAAUGGCACCUACAUGCUCUAAUUCUCCAUAAAAUCCAGAGGCAAAAUGUCCCUGCUGUAAAGACCUUGAACCCUUUUUGGGAAGGUUUUAUGAACUUAAUAUCAUGGGUUGCUCUAACCCCAGCCUUUGUCCUGACAGCAUCUGCUCAGGGAGUUUGAGAUUCAGCCAGUCUGUAAAGAGCUUCAGAUCCAGGGCUUUGAGGUGGGGAGAAGUGGUCACCUUGGAGAAAGCAGGAAACUGUGGCCAGCUGGGGCAUUCUUUGCUAUAGAUUCCAAGAGACAAACUUGCUGAUCCCAGGUCAAGUCUGCCCCUGCUUCCCUGCAUCUAGAACCAUCUCUGGCUCCACCUCCCAUUAACACCCCAGAACAGAUUCCCUACCCACCUCCUCAAGAAGAACAUUGCCUCUGGGGAUUUUCUAAGAGUUUUUAGGAUAAGCAGCAGUUAGAAGCUAACAAUAAGUAAAAUUUCCAGAAAUCAAGAGAAACUUGCAAUGUUCCUUGACACUUUAAAUGAUGCACUUGAAACAAGAGGCUUACAUUAGGAUCUAAAUUAGAGUUCUUGAGUGGCUUUUUGUAUUUUUUCUUUCACGUUAACCUGACUACAACUUUAUCUUCUCCAUUCACUUCCAAGAAGUCCUUAUAUAAUAAAGAGUUGAAGGCUGAAGCCCUUGCUUCCUCAAUAGGGGGCAGGCUCACCAGCUCCAUCUUGUCAGUUACCUCUUAAUGGUUGGUAGGAUGAGGGAAGCUUUCUCAAAGGACAGUUAAAAUAGUGCUUUAAGAAAUCCUCAGCCAAUAAAUAGUUGCUUCCAGAGUUAUAAAGUCAGUUUUCUUAACCUCUCAAUCUCAACUCAACUCAAAUUACAAAGUUUACAUGCCUUUGGGGAUGGCUGUAUUAAGUAAAUAGAGAGGAAUGGUCACAUUCAGUGUAAGCUAAAACACCCAAGGCUGGCAGUAGGAAAAGGAGCUACCUACCUAUCAGGUCUUUCAUAAAGCCAGUCCCUUAAGUAGAAAGAAUAAAGUUCUCUCAAGACUUACCCUAUGGACUGCCUUUCACAGCUGGUUCAUAUUUAUAAGCCAAUUUGUCUGGAAGUAAAUCUCUUUAACACACCCAACUGACUCCAAGAGGUGUGUCCCAUGGGAACCAAUCUUAAAUAACUGUCUCAAGAAAAGUUUUAGCAGCAAUAUUGUCAGUCCUGGAAUUUCCACCUUUGGGGGGAAAAAAAAUCAACAAUAGAAUGCUUGGAAAUACAGAAUACACAGAGUUUAGCAAACUGCCAAAUUAAAUUCAGACACACACACACAAAUCUGCUAAUACCUGGUUAAAGAGUUGGCAUGGGAAGAAACAGACUUCUCAUUCAAGCCUGAAGCUCGGUAAUGGGUCAUUUGACCUGAAAUAACUUGGGCGGAAGUUGGCCUUAUUGUCUUCCACAAUCUCUUCCCACACAGUCAAAAAAGGGGAUGCAAUCUUAAGAUUUUUUCUUCCUCAUUCUCUCCCGCCCUUUCUCCUCUCCCUCCCUCCCUUUUAUUUUCUCUCUCUCCUUUCUUCCUUCUUUUCUUUCUCUUUCAAUCUUUGGGCAUCAAAAAGGGUAUCCCAGAAAACUUCAAAUGAAGUUUUAGAAGAGGACCGUGUGUUGGUUUCAGUUGUUUUUAGGGUGGGGGCUUGAACAACCUCAUCUCAAAAAUGGAGAUUUUUUUUAUUACCUCUUUUGGUUGAGAUAUAAUUAAUAUAUAAUAAAGCUAUCUAAUUUACUGAAUUGGUCUGAUUCACAAGUUAAAUAAGGUUAAAUCAAAGAAAACAUGUAUAAGUCCCUCUAGACAGUGUCCAGGGUUGACUGGAUUAUAAACAGACAUAACCACUGAGGUCACUUUUUAAUUUAAAAACCCUCAAUGGCUCCUGACUUCCUACAGAACAGUCUAAAAAUCUAAGGCUCAAAAAUGUCAGGCUCUCCUUUCUAGUGCUACCUGCUGCCCCCAUCUCUUAUACAUACCAUUUGUCAGAUGCAACCAGAUAAUAGAAAUUUCCAGUCUCUCAGCUUCCUCCUGCUGCCCCAGGUCUGCUUAUCAAGGCCCUGCCCAUCCUUCAAAGUCAGAAGUCAUCUCCUCCAUGGAGUCCUCCAGGUCAGUCCUGCUGGUAUUCAUUUCCUUGCCUAUGGCCUAUCUCAUUACAUUGUUAUUGCUGCUAAGGUAUUUGACACAUUCUGUUUCAUAUUAACUACUUCCUGUGACGAGCACCCUUCUUUCGUGUAAUUUUGAUAAACAUUCAUUGAGCAUCUAUAAUAUGUGGGCAGAGAGCCAGGCAUGGGGAGGAGCUCGGCAGAGGUACAGAGAUGAGUGAUGUGGUGUUUACUCUGGAAGAGCUCAGGGCCUGGUGGGGAGCCUUGAGGUGGCAAGUCCCACCAUGCACGAUCCAUCUCCAGCAGUGUCUACGGUUUCCAUGCACACCAGAUAUAGAUGCUAAUACAAAUGAAGCCGUGCUAAAG
rnacentral:lncRNA from 1 species